CCUAUUAUUGGCAACAACAAAAAAUCUGUCAAAAUUGGACACUUUCCAUUAAUUUCGAUACAAAAAUAGCAACUUCCUCUGUCUAGUAUUGCACUUCCGGUGAAGGAAACAACGUGAGAGUUUGCCACCUCGCUCCGCCUAUUUCUCUCUGUUAACAACAAACAGCGCCAAACUGCUGUAACCGUUUAUGGACCGAACUCCGGUGUGUAGCGUUCCUAACGGUACAAUGGACCCGUUAUGGAAAAAAGUCAACUCAUUUACUGGACCUAUUCCCCGGUCAAGACACGGACACCGAGCAGCGGCUAUUCGGGAACUUAUUAUCGUGUUUGGAGGUGGAAACGAGGGGAUAGCGGAGGAGCUCCAUGUUUUCAACACCGUUUCUAAGCAGUGGUUUCUCCCAGCGGUGAGAGGGGACAUCCCUCCAGGCUGUGCUGCCCAUGGUUUUGCCUGUGAGGGAACCCGCAUCCUGGUCUUUGGAGGCAUGGUGGAGUUUGGCAAAUACAACAACAGCCUGUAUGAGCUACAGGCGAGCCGCUGGCUGUGGAAGAAGCUGAAACCCAGGCCACCCAAGAACGGCAUGCCGCCCCCCUGUCCCCGCCUCGGGCACAGCUUCACCCUCAUUGGGAACAAGUGCUACAUGUUCGGGGGACUGGCCAAUGACAGUGAGGACCCCAAUGGCAAUGUCCCAAGGUACCUGGAUGACUUUUAUGAGCUGGAGCUGCAGUCAGUGUCAGGGGUGAAGGGUUGGAACAUUCCGGAUACUAAGGGCGUGGGUCCGUGGGCUCGAGAGUCCCACACGUCAGUAGCAUACACUGGGUCAGGCUCCCCCAAACUCUACAUCUUCGGAGGAAUGAGAGGCAGUCGCCUUGACGACCUCUGGCAACUUGACCUCGAAUCUAUGACAUGGUCUACACCUGACACUAAAGGACCCCCUCCUCUACCCAGAAGCCUUCACUCUGCCAACAUUAUAGAAAACAAGAUGUAUGUUUUUGGGGGGUGGGUCCCCGUUCCAGAGACAGACAAACCUAACGCCCUGGGAGCUGAAUGGAUCUGUACCAACUCCUUAUCCGUGCUCAACUUAGACACCAUGACAUGGCAGAGCCUAGGCCCAGAUCAGCAACAGGGGCAGACAGUGAGCCAGGGGGACCAAGAAGAGCCCCAGCCCAGCAGUGGGGGACCCCGAGCCAGGGCAGGCCACUGUGCUGCCUCUAUCGGCUCCCGCCUCUACAUCUGGAGCGGCCGUGACGGCUACCGGAAGAGCUGGAACUACCAGGUGUGCUGCCAGGACCUGUGGUAUCUGGAGACAGAGCGGCCCUCCACCCCAGCAGCAGUACUACUGGUCAAGUCCACCGUCAGCAUGCUCCAUGUGGCCUGGCGCCCCCUACCUGCAGCAGAGUGUUACAUCCUCCAGCUGCAGCCCGUCUCCCCCUCUAACACCCCAGACAACCGACCCAGCACAGGUGCCCAAGAGAGGAACCCCCAGGACCAAGAUGUCCAGUCAGCUCAGGUCCCAGAUGACCCCACCUCACAGGAAGCCCAGAAGACGUCCCAACAGGAGGUGGCUGCAGGGCAGAAAGAGACUCCCAUGGAAGUGUCAGAGGCUGUUAGAGACCCCCAUCCAGAGGGGGAGAGUGAUGCUAGUGGAAAAACACAAUCUGAGCCCUUGGGACAUGAGGCUGACCCCACAAAAACCUCCCAGCCCUCAGACACAGUGGUGAGCAGUGAACACCAGCCAGGACAAGAACCUGACACCACUUCCUUAGAUCUCAACACUGUCAAAUGCAAGGUAUCUGGUGAGAAAUCAGAUGAGUCUGAGUGGUUUGAUGCUGGAGUGUUCAAAACCCUGUUCUCUGAGGUUACCCACUACUACCUGCCACCUGGGAAUGACUUUAUUCCCACCAUCUGCAGCAGACCCACUAACACUAAAGAGAUUAAGUUGCAGGGGCCCCAGGACUAUGAGUGGAGGGAGAAGCAGGAGCUGUGUCCAGGUGUAGCCUACAGGUUCAGAGUAGCAGGCAUCAACAGCUGCGGUCAGGGAGACUUCAGCCCUGCCAGCGAGUUCAAAACCUGCCAGCCCGGCUUUCCCGGAGCACCCUCUUCUGUCAAGAUCACCAAGGCUAAUGACUCGGUCCACAUCACGUGGGACUCCCCCACCUCCCCGUCAGGUAAGAUCCUGGAGUACUCCAUGUACCUGGCGGUGAGGAAGAGCCGGUCCAGCAGCUCUGAGCGCCCUGGCCAGCUGGCCUUCAUCAGGAUCUACCGCGGCACCAAGACCUCUUGCACCGUCAGCCCCGCCCACCUGGCCAAUGCCUACAUUGACAGCUCCGCCCCCAACCGGCCAGCUGUCGUGUUCCGCAUCGCGGCCAAGAACGAGCAGGGCUACGGGCCCGCCACCCAGAUCCGCUGGCUACAGGGUACGCUGCAAGACAGAUGCCAGUAAACUCAAAGCCUCGUCAACACAACCAGACGGCAGCCCCACAGAGGCAGAACAGGAGGCAGCAGACAGUUCAGGUUGAAGAUGGACUGCCAGACGCUCGCCGAUACCCAGGAAAGAUGAUGUAACUAGUCAGAGGGCAUGACUACUUUCCAACCCUCACCAUGUCCCUCACCAAAAGGCUGUACAGAACCUAUAGAUUUUUAAAGUUAUUUUUUGAUGUUUUUUCUAAUUGUUGUACAUAACUGUUGCGUGUGUUAAUUUCCACCUGUCAUUUGACCAUACUGUAUUACAUUAUAGUGUCAAAUAAGUUGCACUUCCAUGAGUAUUUUUUAAGUUCAAUAGAUAACUGAUGUUAGAGCAUUUCCCCUCUUGUCAAACAGACAAGGAAUGAACGUGCCUUAGUGUAUGAAUGGGGAUGAUGGUCAACCGGCCAGCGACUGCUUCACAAUAAUUAACAUGUAGCAAACUUGAAUUGAAUAAUAGUGGGAUAUUUUGUGUAUUUAUCAUUUGGGCCAAGUCAAUGGUUGUAUUUCAGCUUCAACAUGCAGAAGUUUUUUGUUAAGUAUAACAUGAUUCCAGCACAGCACUUCUUACAUGCCUUGUGGGUGUGGAAUGUGAGUGUUUGAGUCCAUCAAUUUAUGUUGUUCCUUUACCAUUUAAUAUUUAUGGAUACUGGUAUUAUCCUUUUUUCAAGUCUUUAUUUCUAUUUUGUAGCCAUAGGAGGUAAGCCAUGUGUUUGAAUCUUAAGCUAUCUAUACUUCUGUUAAUACAGAAAUACAGUGAUUGACACUACCGUUCCUCUCUUAUAGCACUGUAGCUCACUAUGCAAUGUGGAAAUCACUAGAUUUCUUUGGGCUGCUCAUGUUUACAAAUUGAAUUGUAGAUUUGAUCCAGACAUUAAUUCCAUCUGAUUCCAAAGCUACUUUAGUAUGGCGAAAGCGAAGAUACAUAUGAGCUUUUUUUUUUUAUUGUUGAAUCUUUAACAUUUUGUACCAUAUGUUACUCAGUGAGUAUGUAGCCCAGAUCCCAUUUUUGUUAAUAUAAGCUCAGUGCAGGAGAUAAUUGUCUUUUAACAUUCCUGUUUUGUUACAGGGUUGUAUUGAAAAAUGAUCCCGGCGGCAUGACUAACUGUUAUCCCUGUACUCUUGUUAGGUGUAUGUUGUACAAUUUGUCAAAGGAGAACUGAGAACAUUUUGGACUUCUGUUUUAACAGUCCAAAUGUGGUUAAAAAAAUGACAAGAAAUAAAACUGGUCAUGACAAUCUGCUAAUGAG